rnacentral:lncRNA from 10 species
GAAAAGUUGGAACUAAACCACAAGACAAUAUUGUCAGAGACUUUUAAUGCCCAUUUACAGCUGACAGACUUGUGGUAUUUGAGACUUGCUUUAACAAUAUCUGAAAUGAUAAUGGCAUAGAACUUUAUCUGCAAAUUUGGGAAGACUAAUUGACCCUGACAGUAAUUGUCUCAGUAGAGGAGAAGGAAGUCAAAACUAAAACUUCAGCCACUUAACCACCCCUUACAGCCAAAUCCCUUGAUGAUCAGUGUGGAAAAAUAAUGAGACCUGCUGUUUCCAAAGGACCAUCUUGCUAUUGUCAACACUCCAAGGUUUCUCAUUUGAGACUCAAAUUUAUUUCAGUUCCUUACAUGCUCCAUGAUAUCUGCCUGUAUUACCAUAAAUUAUUUCCACUAGAAAUGUUGAACUGAAAAACAAAGAGCACCGGGUGUUUUCGUGCAAGAGAAAUGAAUCUUACCCAAAGGAAAUAAUGGCCUCAUUCCACUCUGAUGCACAGCCUUGUAUGUUCAGAAUCUUUGCCUUCACCCCAGGUGGGGGCCAUUAUACAAUUGUAAUACAAUUGCUACAAAUGAUUAAACACAUUGCUAAUCUAAACCAAAGCAAAAGACUUCCAGUUUUCCCAUCUCAAAGCAUUUAACCAACAUCUUCCAGUAUGAAACUUGUUUCUUUUUUGUUCAGUUGGACUUGAAUUCUAUGCUUAGCUCUCAUAAGGUUUUGUGUUCACUGUUUUGUAAACACUGCAUGCCUUAUUCCCAUCUCCAGAUGCAUAUGCAAAUGCAUAUGCCCCAAAACUAAUUACAGAUGCAUAUGCUCCAAAAACCAGUUAUGGUGUUGAAAGUCUUCCUGUACAAUAAUCUCCUGAGGAAGAUAAAAAGCAGAUGGAAUAGCAAUAACAACAACUAAAGGACAGAAAAACCUAGCAACCACAAGGCAAGAGCAAGAUAAAAAUAAGAAUAAUAAAAGAUAAAUGCACGAAUUCCUAAACACCUUCCUCCUCUUCUCUCAGGAGUUCCAAUGCCUGAAUAGGAAAAUAACAGACAUCCCAGAAGAAUACUGAACAAUGCAUACAAAUAAGUACAUCGCUGAAGAAGCAAACUGCCCAAUAAAGUCUUCAAUCUCUGUGGUGGUAAGAAUGAUCAGGGAAAUAAUAAGAAAAUAACAUUUUCACGGAUUUUGGAGAGUAGAAUGUAGACAUCUUUGAGGACCAUUCUUCUGCCUACCAUGCCAUGUAACUCUGAUUUGUAGCCACGGAUGGAAGACAAUAUAAAGCAUUACUUAUUGCCACUUAAAUUGGACUCAGACAAAUAAAAUAAAAAUGAUCUGGUGACAUCAGGAGAAAGACAUAACUUUUAUACGCUUUAUAAAUUGCUCAUUAGUAAUAUAUGUGUACUUCCUCUUGCAUGAGGAAAUAAAAUCUUCUCUUUAACUUCAUCUCCUCUUUAAUAUGUUGUCAAUAGUUUCCUGUUAGAUAUAUAGGAUAUAAUAUUAACUGAGGAAAAAUAGUCCGUUGAGAAGAAAAUUGGUGGUGAUGGGAGAAACUUUAAAUACCAAUUUUGGUAUUCCAGAAUUGUGCACACAAUGUGAAUUGAACCUUUCCAUUUUAUUGCUUGAGUCGGUGAUCAUCACCCUUUUCUAUGCCUCUGACCACUGUCUCAUUUGAGGCAUCUGAUAAAUUUCUUAAAUGCCAGCACCUGGGCACAGGAAACCUCACUGAGAUGCCUAAGCUUUAAAGUGACAAUCCAAAGGUAAAGGUGAUACCAAAAAGGUGAUGAAUCCACUUAUUAGGAAUGCAGACCCAUUAUAAUUAUAUUAUGAUGCAAAUAUAGUUGCUCUGAGUAGUCUUAUCCUUCAAAAUUCAAAACAGCACAGUAUGACAGUUAAACAUUAUAGGAGAGAGGAAUAACUACACUAUAAUGAAAGCAAUCAAUGAUUAGAAUCUGCAUAUUUGCAUGCAAAAUGAGUGAAUACAAAUGUACAGUAGGAAAAGAGGGAGAAAAUAUUUCAAAAUUCCAAAUACAGGGAACAAAAAUUAUUUAUAUAAAAACAGUAAAAACUGUGAUAUCUCAUAAUUAGCUUAUAAAUUUUUUCUUUCUGAUUCUCAUUUUAUAUUCAAAUACAACUUUCUGGAAGCCCAAACAAUGAAUCCAUAGAUAAUUGCUAUGCCAGAUGUGAACAUACAAGACUAAUACAGAAAACACCCAAGGAAAACAGAUUUUUAAAAUAACGUCUACUUUAGAAAUUACUUUGUUCAUGAAUCCUUUCCUAACCCUCCAAGUCUGUGUUAAUUGAUCCUCAUAUAUAAAUCUGUCAGUCUGUUUUUUUUUUUUUUUCUUUUUGAGACGGAGGAGUCUCGCUCUUUCGCCCAGGCUGGAGUGCAGUGGCGCUAUCUCGGCUCCCUGCAAGCUCCGCCUCCCGGGUUCACG